UUACUGCACACAUUUUUAUUUUUAUGUAGUUAAUAAAUAACCUAAAAUUCCGUCGUGCAAAAAAAGUAGAUUUGCACACAUUGUGAGCGAUUAACCACGCCAAUUCCGCCUAUCUCCCAUUAACUCAUCGAUGAACCAACCGCUAAUUUCAUUAUUCCUCAAUUAGUCCCAUUAUUGAAGAGAUUAUUUCUAAAAAUCCAACUUUACUAGAAUGAGCAACUCUGCGGCGACCAGACGUAGCGAAAAUUAUCCAGCAUCCAAACCGCAUAAACCCUGCUUUAAUUUUUUAAUGGAUUUUCUCCGUUGCCAUGGAUGUCAACCUGACGACGAGGGGUCCGGUUCUAAUCAAACUGUGAGACUUGGUUGUGGUGAAGAUGGUGGAUUUUUUCGUAACGGUUCUUCCGGUUAUUAUCAGGCCACCACUGUUAACCAACCUACCGCCGUAACCGUGCCGCAAAACGGGGGAAAGUAAGACGUGCCCAGCUUUCAAAGUCAGACGUCAAAUGAAGUUUGUUAAUUUAAGGCAACUUUCUUUGAGGUAUUUAUUUAUGUAAUUUAUGUAACUGCAAAAUUGUAAUAAACAUUGACAAAUUUCAUAUUUAUAACAUA